rnacentral:rRNA from 1 species
GACAGAGGGUGCAAACGUUGUUCGGAAUUACUGGGCGUAAAGCGCGUGUAGGCGGCCCUGCAAGUCGGAUGUGAAAUCCCACGGCUCAACCGUGGAAGUGCAUUCGAAACUGCAGGGCUAGAGUCCUGGAGAGGAAGGUGGAAUGCUUGGUGUAGAGGCGAAAUUCGUAGAUAUCAAGCAGAACACCUGCGGCGAAGGCGGCCUUCUGGACGAUGACUGACGCUGAGACGCGAAAGCGUGGGGAGCAAACAGG